CAUUCAUCAAAUUAAUUCUACAGAUUUACUUUCUUUAUUUUUCGCUGGGUUUGGUAGUACACAGAGCCCUCCUGCCUGGGCUCACCUCCUCCACCCUGUAAAUCUCAACGGCUCGGCUGUAAGUUACAAGGGAGCGAGAACCACCUUUCCAAGCUCCUGUGCCAGACAGAUAUUGAACAGAGUUGAUUGAUGAGACUUGGAGAAAGUUGAGCCUUUCAGGGCUUUCUCUCUCACUUGACUACUUCUCCGUCCAAAUGAAAUGUAAUGCGAUCCUUCCCAUGCAAAGUAUUCGUGCCUCGCCUUGGUCGCAUUAUACGUAAGGACGUAGGUGUAGUAGGAGAAGAAGAUUGGAGAUGUGAUGAGGUCAACUGAAGGUCUCUGAAUUUUGAGUGAAAACGCACCAACUAGAGCGUGGAGGUGAAUAUGUAUGUGUACAGCAAUUUAAACGAGCAGUUCACCCGACCCAGAUAGAAAUUGGUGCAAAGUGUCGCGGUGGUAGUGAAAUUACAGAUUUUCCAACAACACGUACACAUACAUAUCUACAACCCCUGCUAAAUAACAUGCUGCGUGCUGUAUGUACAGGUCGAAAAAGUUGAAAACACCACGAAAUCACAUCCCUUUCUGUGAAGACAUACAAUUUAUUUCAUUAUGCAAUAUUUCCACCGAGUUUAGUACCGAUACGCAUGUUAUAUUCGGUUAGUUGAGCCAGCCAGUUGACAGAACUGACAGACAAUGCGACUUAAUUGAUGACUAUAUGCAAUGCACCGAGUGUGCAACAGCAACUUUGGGCUGCUGCUGCCUACUGUACUUUCAUUUCAUCUCCAUCAAUGAGCCAAUGAAUGAAUAGGACAUCGUUAGCCAAGCCAACUAACUACCAAGCCACCCACCCACCCACCUUUUCUUUUGCACGAUUUGCUACGCCACGGAACUGAUUGUAUUCCAUCCAGCAGAGGUAAAAGGGAUUUAUUCAGAAUUUCGGAUGGAUGGGAUUGAGGGGACGACCGAGGCCACGUGCGGUGAUAUAAGUCAGCGAGUUGAGGUCGAUUAAAUACGGUUGAGUGAACAGAUUUCGAACGAGCCAAAUAACCAACCAGUCCAGGUUGCUCUUGAAUUAAAGGAAAGAGAGAGAGAGGUAAAUUUUGGCAGCAGUACAACACAACCAACAACCUCCAUUAAAUUAAAUGCAACAAGAACAACGGGCCAUGCAAUGUAUGAUGUUGUAUUGGUGGGAAUGUUGUGAGAGAAGGUCGCAAUUUUUGGUUUGGACAUACUCAUUACUGCUCCUCAUUAUAUUCUGUGGUAAGAAAACGUCCCACAAAAGAGAUGCUAUAUUUCCUGCUGUGACUAGUCUUCGAGAUGCUCAAAUGCAGAAUAUAUUUGAAAAACACAUUAGCUCACAAUAGACAAUGGUCCAUUGACUUGGCUAAAAAUUCGCAAGACAAGGCAGACAUUCAAGGACAUGUUGCAACUUAAUCUACCUUUUGUUUUCUUUGUCCAAGUAAUAAAACGACGUGAUUUAAUGUGUCUCUUAUCGCUGCGUAUAAAGAAAUACGUACCUUGUCAACAAUACGUAGGUUGCCAGGUGGGUCGUCUACACAUUUUCGGAUGAUGAUGUAACUCACUAUUUCGAGACAUGAGAGACACUCCGACUCCAGAAUUACAUACGUCAGAUUUUACAACUCUCUAGAACGUAUUUAGGAGGAUGGAUAAGUGCUGUUAACAAAAGAGAAAGUCGUCUGAAUAGACGGAGAGAUAAAUUUUACCAUGUAUUGUCAUUCAAUCCGACCCUGUUUUUCUGUGGUGCAUUACAUAACAUAACGGUUCCACAAUCCAGUGAUGAUGAUAAAUUUGGGAAUUUGAUGACCAUGCGGUGAUUAUGACGAGUAGAAGAUGAAUUGCCUGGCUGAAGGAUUGUUGAAUGGGAAUAAAAACUUAUAAUAGAAAUCAGAAAGGGCAAACGGCAGGUAAGAUGAGAUGCUACAAAUAUUAGCCAUGAAAAUAAUAAUAACAGACACAUUAUUUAUAAGCAAUGUGAUUCACGUAAUAUCAAAUGAUGAUGAUUGAGAGGUAUAAUUUCGAAUUAGAGAUCUUUCCACCGCUUAUUUCUUGGUAAAGCGUGCGUGGGUGAAUUUGUUUUGAUAAUCCAAUUUAUUAUUCCCUUGAUGCAUUUUAGGACCCCGCUAAUUUUAGCCAUGUCGUCAAGUAUGUUCCAAAAAUAUGACAAAUCUUUAUCUUUAGAGUGACCAAUGUGCGUCAGGUCGCAAAAGUGGUUUGAAGAAUGAGGACGCUACCAAAAUGUAUGGGCUGGUGAUUGUUGGUUUUGGAAGAUCAGGGCAUGAGGGCAGAAUUGUAUAUGCUGUUCACUUUUCACUCAACAAGAUCCAAUAUCAAUAAUAAUAUAUGAAGAUAAUACCUCAUGUGAGUUCACAAAGCAGUGGACCAUGUCAAACUCGGCAAGUGGAAGCAGGCAGGCAGGCCGACCGACGGACCGUGUGCAAUGCUUACCUACUCACCCACCCUCCCGCUAAUCUUUAGAAUUUGAGCGCAGUGAGAUUAAUUGACAGAGAAAUAGUGUUUUCCUACCCAGUGAAAAACGCUUUCAGGUUGUGGAAGGGGAUUCAAAAGAGGAACACAAUAGGCAUUAGGUCGGCUGUCGUAUUUUUCCUUCAUUUUUAGGGUGGAGGGUUCACAGGAAGGAAGUAAAUGAAGGGAGGGGAAAGUAGUCAAAAGUGUGUGCUGCGUUGCACCAAAAAACCACCUUUCCGAAUUUCUAUUUCGAGAAAAGGUAAAUGGUCUGUUUCUACCCACAUUGUGCACCUACGCGGCGUCCUUUGGAUGAAUGGACCCCUACUAUCACAACAGGAGGGGACUGUUUUAAUGAUGAUGAUGGGAUCUCUUAGGAAACUUUCGAGUUUCGAGGACUACGUACGUACGUAGCUUCCAUAUUCAAUUAUUCUCCUGCAUGCAUGUGUUGUGCUGAUUGCACUAUUGCGUAUGUACGUACGUACGACUGGACCUCUGGUGCUGUGGGAGAGAGAGAGGAAAGUUUAGUUUAUCUCACUUUUACAUCACCAAAUGGGUAGAAUUGGAAUUGGAUGAUUGUGCCGAUGGAAAUUGAAAUGCUACCACUUGGAUGCGAUGUUGAUGGUGGUUGGUUGGUUGGUAUUUUGGUCGUGUUAAUGAUUUCCUAGUUUUGUGGGGGAUCUGGUCAUUAUUGAGUUUUGAAAGUAUCUAGUGUAUAGUAAAUGUGCGUUGUAGUGUUUUGUUGAAAGUCAGUUAAAGGUGCUGCAUAUAUGUAACUAAACUAACAAUGGAGGUCUCCCAGCGUAUGAUCGCCGAUAUUGACCAAACUAUGUAGUGUCAAUCAAUCACAAAUAUAAUUAGUAUGAAAUUUAUAAAAGACAUGAUCCGCCAAAAGUUCGACAAAUUUUGCACUUUCUAAAUUUACUGUGCUUGUUCUCCUCUUGGGAUGCAAAUAUCUCCACCAAACCUGAGGAUUGGCCUCAAAUUUCAUACUAGUAAGUUUGCCAUCGAUUGACACUCUUUUGCUCAAAAUCUGAGAGCAUACGCAGGGAGACAUCCAUUAAAGUAUAUACUUUUUGAAUAAAUAUCAAUUUUUUUGCUAAA